rnacentral:misc_RNA from 1 species
UAGAGGAUUAAAAACCCCCUAAAACCCACUGUGAACAUACCUAUCGUUGCUUCGGCGGGACCGCCCCGGCGCACUCGUGCCCGGAACCAGGCGCCCGCCGGAGGCCCAAAAACCCAUUUUUUGCAUUUCGCGGAAUUCUCUGAGUGACACAAAACAAAUAAAUCA